GAUGAACGCUAGCGGGAGGCCUAAUACAUGCAAGUCGAACGGUAAGGUCCCUUCGGGGAUACACGAGUGGCGGACGGGUGCGUAACGCGUACGAAACAUACCUUCAACAGGGAGAUACCUCCGGGAAACUGGAAAUAAUACCCCAUAGUAUUGAGAUAUCGCAUGAUAUUUCAAUCAAAGCUUUGGCGGUUGAAGAUUGUCGUGCGUCUGAUUAGCUAGUUGGUGAGGUAACGGCUCACCAAGGCGACGAUCAGUAGCUGGUCUGAGAGGAUGAUCAGCCACACUGGAACUGAGACACGGUCCAGACUCCUACGGGAGCAGCAGUAGGGAUAUUGGACAAUGGGCGAAGCCUGAUCCAGCCAUCCCGCGUGUA
rnacentral:rRNA from 1 species